rnacentral:rRNA from 2 species
GCUGAACUUAAGCAUAUC